AUGAUAUUCAUACUGCUAUUUCCAAUUGCAUUUAAAAAUACCAAUAUUUUGGUAACAGUGAAAAAUAAAAUAAUGCUUCACAUAUUGGAUUAAAAUAUAACUACAAAAUAAAUGAAGUAAUCAAGUUAAUCGCAAAGAAGUGGAAAAAAUCUAUUUUGACUUACUGCACUUUAUAACUUUCACGUAAUACAUUAUGAUUCCAAAUCAGAAUUUGAAUAUGCCAUAGUGAAAUAUACUUUCACUUACAAUUUGGAAGAUCCUCUAUGUUAAAAUGAUAUUCAUACCGAUAUUUCCAAUUGCAUUUCAAAAUACCAAUAUUUUAGUAACAGUGAAAAAUAAAUUAACACUUCACAUAUUAUCGGAUUAAAAUAUGACUACAAAAUAAAUUAAGUAAUCAAGUUAAUUGCAAAGGAGUGGAAAAAAAUCUAUUUGGACUAACUGCAC